AGAGUUUGAUCCUGGCUCAGAACGAACGCUGGCGGCGUGGAUAAGACAUGCAAGUCGGACGAGACUUUUCGCUGUAGCAAUACGGUGGAAAGUCUAGUGGCGAACGGGUGCUUAACACGUGGGCAACCUGCCGAGAAGUGGGGGAUAGCUCGCCGAAAGGCGAAUUAAUACCGCAUGUGAUUAGAGUGGACAUCCAUUCGAAAUUAAAGUCGGGGCAACCUGACGCUUUUUGUGGGGCCCGCGGCCUAUCAGCUAGUUGGUGAGGUAACGGCUCACCAAGGCUUUGACGGGUAGCUGGUCUGAGAGGACGACCAGCCACACUGGGACUGAGACACGGCCCAGACACCUACGGGUGGCAGCAGUCGAGAAUUUUUCUCAAUGGGGGAAACCCUGAAGGAGCGACGCCGCGUGGAGGAUGAAGGUCUUCGGAUUGUAAACUCCUGUCAUUGGGGAACAAUGCGUGACGGUUAACUGCCGUUGCGUUGAUAGUACUCGAAGAGGAAGAGACGGCUAACUCUGUGCCAGCAGCCGCGGUAAUACAGAGGUCUCAAGCGUUGUUCGGAUUCAUUGGGCGUAAAGGGUGCGUAGGCGGCGCGGUAAGUCGGGUGUGAAAUCUUGGAGCUUAACUCCGAAACUGCAUUCGAUACUGCCGUGCUUGAGGACUGGAGAGGAGACUGGAAUUUACGGUGUAGCGGUGAAAUGCGUAGAUAUCGUAAGGAAGACCAGUGGCGAAGGCGGGCCUCUGGACAGUUCCUGACGCUGAGGCACGAAGGUCAGGGGAGCAAACGGGAUUAGAUACCCUAGUAGUCC
rnacentral:rRNA from 1 species